CCUACGGGAGGCAGCAGUGGGGAAUAUUGGGCAAUGGACGCAAGUCUGACCCAGCAACGCCGCGUGAGUGAAGAAGGCUUUCGGGUUGUAAACUUCUAUUAAGGGGGAAGAGCAGAAGACGGUACCCCUUUAAUAAGCCCCGGCUAACUACGUGCCAGCAGCCGCGGUAAUACGUAGGUGGCAAGCGUUGUCCGGAUUUACUGGGUGUAAAGGGCGUCUAGCCGGGAAGUUAAGUCAGAUGUGAAAUCUCGCGGCUCAACCGCGGAACUGCAUUUGAAACUGGUUUCCUUGAGUGUCGGAGAGGUAAGCGGAAUGCCUGGUGUAGCGGUGAAAUGCGUAGAUAUUAGGAAGAACACCGGUGGCGAAGGCGGAUUACUGGACGACAACUGACGGUGAGGCGCGAAAGCGUGGGGAGCAAACAGGAUUAGAUACCCUUGUAGUC
rnacentral:rRNA from 1 species